rnacentral:misc_RNA from 1 species
GAUGAAGAACGUAGCGAAAUGCGAUACGUAAUGUGAAUUGCAGAAUUCAGUGAAUCAUCGAGUCUUUGAACGCACAUUGCGCCCCCUGGUAUUCCGGGGGGCAUGCCUGUCCGCGCGUCAUUGCUGCCCUCAAGCACGGCUUGUGUGUUGGGCCUCCGUCCUCCUCCCGGGGGACGGGCCCGAAAGGCAGCGGCGGCACCGCGUCCGGUCCUCGAGCGUAUGGGGCUUCGUCACCCGCUCUUGUAGGCCCGGCCGGCGCUUGCCGACACAUCAAUCUUUUUUCCAGGUUGACCUCGGAUCAGGUAGGGAUACCCGCUGAACUUAAGCAUAUCAAUAAGCGGAGGA